AUAACGGGACUCGCCUUUCUACGUUACUUUAUGUGGGAGUAGUUGUAAAACAGAAUGAAGGAGACCACGGGGCUUGUGCAGAAAUGUAGCCACUGUUUACAUGGUAGGAGAAUCGCUUGAACCUGGGAGGUGGAGGUUGCAGUGAGCUGAGAUUGUACCACUGCACUCCAGCCUGGGCCAUAAAGUGAGAGCUUGACGGUGGGGCGGGGGUGUGGGAUGGACCUUCAGUGGUCCCAGCUACUCAGGAGGCUGAGGUGGGAGGAUUGCUUGAGCCCAGGAGUUU
rnacentral:antisense_RNA from 1 species